GACGAACGCUGGCGGCGUGCCUAAUACAUGCAAGUCGAACGCUUGGGGGACGGGUGAGUAACACGUGGGUAACCUCCCCAUCAGAGGGGAUAACACUUGAACACAGGUGCUAAACCAAUCCUGAUGGAUGUGCCCUCGGUGCAUUAGCUAGUUGGGGAGGUAACGGCUCACCAAGUCCACGAUGAAUAGCUGACCGGAGAGGGUGAUCGGCAACAGUGGGACUGAGACACGGCCAAGCCUCCUACGGGAGGCAGCAGUAGGGAAUCUUCGGCAAGGGACGAAAGUCUGACCGAGAAACGCGGCGUGGGUGAAGAAGGUUUUCGGUUCGUAAAACUCUGUUGUUAGAGAAGCGGUAUCUAACCAGAAAGCCACGGCUAACUACGUGCCAGCAGCCGCGGUAAUAC
rnacentral:rRNA from 1 species